AGUAGGUGGGUAGGGUUUAAUAUGUAUGUUCCAUACUAUGGUUGAUAAAUUUUGAAUAUAUUGUAAAACAGUUAUAGAUUAUAUUUGGUUUAUAGUUUAUUGAUUUGGGUAUAUAUUUACUAAUUAGGAGUUUGGGUGUAGUAUUUAGCGGUUGUGGGAUGGUUUAAUAUGUAAAAGUUAAAGGCUAGGUUGAGGUCCUGUACUACUUGACCGAUAUGGAAUAGAACAUUCAUAACUUUUCAAACCAAGAGAAUAUGCCUUCAUGGUUGCUUCGAGAACAACUUAGUAAUUAAGGGUUUGUCUUGGCAUGUAGUAUAUUUAAGUGGGUGUGCAAGGUUUAAUAUUUUCGAUCCAUACUAUCAAUGAUACAUUAAAAAUAAUAUAGGGAAACACUUAUAAAUUAUAUUUUGGUUUAUAUUUUACUGCUUAGGUUUUAGCUUUAAUAAUUAGGGAUUUGGAUAUUCUAUUUAGCUAAUAUGGGAGGGGUUAAUAUGUAGGGAUUAAAUUUCAGGUUUGUGUCCUAUACUAUUUCGUCAAAAUGGAAUAUAGCACCAACAAACUUUCAAACCAUGGGAAUGCACAUUUCUGGUUGUUUGAGAAACAAUCAAUCUUAUCUCACAUAGCAUAAAACCAUGUUAUUCCUGGUAGAUGGAAUCAUCCUUUUAAUUUUCAUUAUUCACUGACUUCAUUUCAGUUUGCACAUUAUUCAUUCAUUUAUAUUUUUAUUUAAUGGAACCACACCACUAGCCCAAUUAAAAAC
rnacentral:lncRNA from 1 species